rnacentral:lncRNA from 1 species
CUUGUGUUAAUCAGUCUAAGGAUGUGUCUAUCUCUAAUAAUGAAGAUGUUGAUGUUGACAUGAAUGAAUAUGUCUCUCACAGUAACUCUUCCACACAAUCAUUUUGAAUUUUAGUUUCUUUUGUUUGAUGAUUUUUGUUGUAAGGAUUGAAUAUUUACUCACUUUUGUUUGAUGGUUUGAUUGUUUAGACUAUUGGUUCCUCUCUUUUUUUUCCUUGGUACUUUUGAGGCAAAAAGGGAGAAAAUAAAAGUCACUUCUGAAUUUUUCUGUUGGUACUUUGUGGUUAUGUUAAAUAUAUGUAUGAAUUUUGAUAUUAACUUUAUCUA